rnacentral:tRNA from 1 species
UGGCAGAUUAGCUCAGUGGCAGAGCGAAGUGACACUCCCCACUUAGGUCGGUGGUUCGAUUCCGCCAUCUGCAGA